rnacentral:lncRNA from 1 species
CUCUUGGGUGUGGGGAAGCCCCAAGCAGGAUGGAGGCUGAGUUACAGAAUAACAACGAGGGUCAGAAAUGAAGUUGGUUUCAAAAAAAAAGGACCACGCUUCCUGAGCACCUGAGCUUAUGGAGCCAUCCUCCUGCCCAGGGUGCUAGCGUUUCCUGCACCACCUGCCUGGGAGGUCAUUACCAUCUGCACCGUUCUGCCACCUCCUGCUCUCUCUGCAAGCUGUGGCCUGGUCACAAGAUCCUGCUGG